GGGGGUGAUCGGUCUCGACUUGCGAUGUUGUUGCAUAGGCUGCAUGCCGAGGAUGUCUGGUGGGCCUCGUUAAUCAUCCGGACACAAAUAAACGCUAACCACGAGUUAACGUAUGACGGUGUUAUGGCGCAAUUUGCGAAAAGCAAAGCUCCGGCAGAACCCGUCUCAGUCCCAGGCUAAAAUUUAGCUUGAGCCCUUUUGCGAAUAGGGUCUGCUGAUUCGUAAAAGGACCUUUGCAGACUAGUCUUGCGGUCCGCUUCCAGCCGCAGGAUGAAAUCAAGGAAGAUGGUUCCGGCGGAUUUUGUCGGUUGAAGACGCGGGGACGACAACAAAAGAUCGACUAAGCUUGUAGCACGCUUAUGCAAGGCACGACAAGGACCGGGGUUCAAUUCCCCGCACCUCCACCA
rnacentral:tmRNA from 1 species